rnacentral:lncRNA from 1 species
GGGGAAAUUGUGACAAAUCUGGACUUAUAAUUGUUAUUAUUUAACGUAUUAUUUAUUGUAUAUGACAUAUAUUUAUUUGAAUAUUGCCGGGUGGUCAACUUCUCGGGUGUGCACAAACACUGAUAAAUGCAUUGACUUUCAUACUCAUGAUUUAAACUAUUUGUACUUUGCAAGCGAUAAGGGCCAGUUUUAUAUGUAUAUCUUGGUAAUGUUUACCUAUGAAAUACUUUGAUUAUCCGUCAUAUAGUGAUUUAUUUUGACAAAUAUCGUCGUGAGAUUCAACUUGUUUACAUCUGCCAUGACACCGUUCUGUACUUUCACUUUGCGAUCUCAUAUUAUUAUUUGUUUAAGUUAACACUUUAU